AUUGAACGCUGGCGGCAUGCUUUACACAUGCAAGUCGAACGGCAGCACGGGGGCAACCCUGGUGGCGAGUGGCGAACGGGUGAGUAAUAUAUCGGAACGUACCCGGAAAUGGGGGAUAACGUAGCGAAAGUUACGCUAAUACCGCAUAUGCCCUGAGGGGGAAAGCGGGGGAUUCGCAAGAACCUCGCGUUUUCGGAGCGGCCGAUAUCGGAUUAGCUAGUAGGUGAGGUAAAGGCUCACCUAGGCGACGAUCCGUAGCUGGUCUGAGAGGACGACCAGCCACACUGGAACUGAGACACGGUCCAGACUCCUACGGGAGGCAGCAGUGGGGAAUUUUGGACAAUGGGCGCAAGCCUGAUCCAGCCAUGCCGCGUGAGUGAAGAAGGCC
rnacentral:rRNA from 1 species